rnacentral:rRNA from 1 species
GUCGUGAGAUGUUGGGUUAAGUCCCGCAACGAGCGCAACCCUUGUCCUUAGUUGCUACGCAAGAGCACUCUAAGGAGACUGCCGGUGACAAACCGGAGGAAGGUGGGGAUGACGUCAAGUCCUCAUGGCCCUUAUGGGUAGGGCUUCACACGUCAUACAAUGGUCGGUACAGAGGGCUGCCAAACCGCGAGGUGGAGCUAACCCCAGAAAACCGAUCGUAGUCCGGAUCGCAGUCUGCAACUCGACUGCGUGAAGCUGGAAUCGCUAGUAAUCGCGGAUCAACAUGUCGCGGUGAAUACGUUCCCGGGUCUUGUACACACCG